UUCCUCUGCAUAUUGUUCUAUUCAGACCCUCAAUAGGUUAAAUGAUGCCCACUCUCAUUAAAGAGGACCAUCUACUUUACGGAACUGCUAAGUUUGACAUACAAAGAACCAAUGGGAUACAUUGCUGAUGAAGGAGAAGGAGGUCUAAUCACUUUGGAAAACAAUUUGAAAUUCAACUGUGCAGAGAAAAUGACUGGUUCAGGCCACUCACAGUGGGUCACUCUUGGAAUCCCUUGCUGAGUUGGG